CAUGUUUGCUUGGUGUUCGUGGCUUCUCUGUUGUCCCCUUUCUGCAAUAAUGCUCGUCUUCUGUUAUACGAGUGGGUCUACUCGGGUGAUGCUCUCUGUCCAUGGUGGCUACAGCUAAGGACGUCCUUCGCGAGCUGUUCUUGAGGAGCCAUUCUCUUAGAUCUGAUCUUCGGGUACUGCCGAAUUUUCCGGGUUCAGGUCUCGUGCUUCACCGUGGUUCCAUAUUUUGUGGCAAGUGAGUGUACUGAGUUGU
rnacentral:lncRNA from 1 species